GAUGAAGAACGUAGCGAAAUGCGAUAAGUAAUGUGAAUUGCAGAAUUCAGUGAAUCGUCGAAUCUUUGAACGCAUCUUGCGCUCCUUGGUAUUCUGAGGAGCAUGCCUGUUUGAGUGUCAUUAAAUUCUCAACUACACUGACUUUGAAUUGGUGUGGCUUGGAUUUGGGGGGAAAAUUGUUGUGGGCUUUUUGUAUAGUCUGCUCCCCUGAAAUUGAUUAGCGGUACCUUUGUGGAACUGUCUACAGGUGUGAUAAUUAUCUACAUCUUAGACAUCUGCUGGAAUGCUGCUUUCUAAACCUUACUUGUAUUGACAAUCUUGACCUCAAAUCAGGUAGGACUACCCGCUGAACUUAAGCAUAUCAAUAAGCGGAGGA
rnacentral:misc_RNA from 1 species